UUUAUUAUCUAGCUCUGAGGAAAAUGGUGAGUGUUUCUGUUUGGAAAGCUUUUGUAUUUUCUAACAAUAUAUAUAUUUAUUAAUUUCAGAUAAUAACAAUGGAGAUUCUUAUAACAAGCCAAUAGAGAACAACCCAGUGGCGCCUCCUAGACCAAAUAGAAGAGAUGUACAACUUCCGGUCAGUUCCAGACCGCACAGACAGCUCCCGGCACGACCGGAACCAGAACCAGAAGAGGAAGAAUUUUACCAGGAACCUGAUGAGGUAAGUGGGCCACCUUUGCCGUCUGUUAGGGAUCGCCUCCCACCCCCAGUCCCAGAUAGUAGAGGGCGACCUACACCUCCUAAUGCUAGAGGGAGACCUCAGCCCCCAGAUGUCAGAGGAAGACCCCCUGCUCCUGUGCCUGAUUUAGAUGGACCAAAUGAGGAUUAUGAGGACCCAGAUGCUAGCUUAAAGUCGCACAUUUUUCAUGGCGGCCCUUU